rnacentral:lncRNA from 1 species
GGGAGGGGGUGUGAUAUCGUAAUGUUUAAAUCAAUAAAUCAUGUUGUCCCAUAUCAGGAAACAGUUGGAAAGUGAUUCAGAAUCGAGAAUGAAUCAUGAAUUUCUAUUUGCUGUAUCACAAUAUAAAAACAUUUAUUUGAUUUAAAACAACAAUUAUAAAAAUAAUGCUGAAUCAUGAAUAACCUUUUAAAAAAAUUUUAACCUUCCACUUUCCAAGCGUUUCUUG